rnacentral:misc_RNA from 1 species
AAAUACCUUUCAAGAUGGAGAUGUGUUAAGAUUGACCAAUCCCAUCUUGGAAGUGAAGUGAUGAAACAUAGGGGAAGCUAAUGGCUUAGUAAACAAAUCAACAAGCUGGAAUUUGGCAGAAAUAUGACUAGUAUGAAUGAAUCUAGCUUGGAGUUGAUUGCGUACAAAAUUGCAAUCAAUGUCAAGAUGCUUGGUUAUUUCAUGGAAGACGGGAUUUUCUGAUAUGUGAACCGCAGCGUUGUUGUUACAUUGUAAGGGAAUUGGAAGAUGGAGCUGAAUUUGAAAAUCUUUUAUCAGAUAGGAAAUCCAUUGCAGCUCACAAAUAGUGGACGCCAUACUUCGAUACUGUGCCUCAGUUGAAGAUCGACUAAUGGUAUUUUGUUUUUUAGAUUUCCAGGAAAUAAGAGAGGGAACAAGGAACACACCGUAGCCUGUAAGAGACUUCCUGGAAAUUGGACAUGAGGCCCAAUCAGCGUCACAAAAAGCUUUCAGUUGGUAAUUUUUUGUUGAAGGGAAAAACAAUCCCUUUG